CCGAGCACCUGGACGGGAUCAACUGUUAAUCAUGAACACCCGUGGUCUAGAUCAGUGGCUCUCAUUGCAGUUUGGAGGGCGCGCUGGUUUACCAUCUCCCCGAGUGGGAGAGUGGACGUCACAAUUUGUGGUAAGGGAACGCGUUCACGCGGCACCUGC
rfam:Zea mays cultivar B73 chromosome 2, whole genome shotgun sequence.